AGAGUUUGAUUAUGGCUCAGGAUGAACGCUAGCUACAGGCUUAACACAUGCAAGUCGAGGGGCAGCAUUGGAGUAGCAAUACUCAGAUGGCGACCGGCGCACGGGUGAGUAACACGUAUCCAACCUGCCGCUUACUCGGGGAUAGCCUUUCGAAAGAAAGAUUAAUACCCGAUGGUAUAAAGAGUUCGCAUGUUCUCUUUAUUAAAGAAUUUCGGUAAGCGAUGGGGAUGCGUUCCAUUAGAUAGUUGGCGGGGUAACGGCCCACCAAGUCUACGAUGGAUAGGGGUUCUGAGAGGAAGGUCCCCCACAUUGGAACUGAGACACGGUCCAAACUCCUACGGGAGGCAGCAGUGAGGAAUAUUGGUCAAUGGACGAGAGUCUGAACCAGCCAAAAGUAGCGUGAAGGAUGACUGCCCUAUGGGUUGUAAACUUCUUUUAUAAGGGAAUAAAGUGGGGGACGUGUCCCUUUUUGUAUGUACCUUAUGAAUAAGGAUCGGCUAACUCCGUGCCAGCCGCCGC
rnacentral:rRNA from 1 species